rnacentral:lncRNA from 1 species
UUAUUUGAAUAUAGGUAAUCAUAUACAACUAUACAAAAACAAGACCAUUCUAGUUUAUACAAGAUCAUUCAGGUAUAUAAAAGAUGGUGAAAAUAAGAUCAUUCAGGCUAUAAAUAUCUCUUCUCUUCUUCAAAUCAAGUUAGUGAAAUUUAGUAGUUGAAGGUUGAGGAUGUUCUUGUGAUUUCCACCAUUUUUGCUACAUUCGAGCGUUGGUUCUAUUUUUUUUCUCCACGAAUCAGGUACAAUGUUUCUGCUUGACUUACCUUAAGUCCUUCUUUUUCAAGUCUUGUGUGACGGGUGAAAAAGUUUUAUUUCUAACUUAAAAUGUCUGUUUCUUGUGUAUGGUUUAUCUCCUGCUCCCCACGAGUUAAACCAUUUAUGUUUGAUUUAUAAUGAAUUUGAUUAUGAAGUAGUUAUGCUUAAAUGUGUUGAUUGUGAAUGCUUGUACACUUUCAUGAUAUUUAUUGUGAUAUAUUAAUUAUGGGUUUGACAGUGUUAUAGCUAAUAUUAGUUCAUUGAUUUGUGAAAGAGAUAAAUGAAUGGUUCUCAUGAAUCUAAUAUAGUCGUAUUGUGAAUGGACACCUCUCACUAGCCUAAUCACUUAAACUUAAGGAUUAGAGCUAUAGAGUGAAAUUCCUAUUUUAACUCAUUAUGGAUAAAAUAUAAUGAAAGCUUAAACAUAAGCGAAUCUUUUAAUUCAUUCUUGUUUAAUUGGUUGUUGAAAGAUACCACUAGACCAAGCGCACUUAUGUAUAGCUCCUCACGUAGCGUCACCAAUGUUUGAUUAUUUUUAAGAUGGCUUUGGAAGCCUUCAAUCGAAGCCCUUUUAGUCGUGAGGUGACAAAGUGGUGGAUCGCUGAAGUGGUUAGAUGCCGAACUCAUUUUUCUUCGUCGUACUUGUGUAGGGACGGUAAGAUGGUGAAGGCAAAGUCCACAAGAAACUAACUAGACAUGCCUCUAGACUUUGAUUGAGUUUGGAGAUAAAAUUUUACCACGUAAACCUUUUCGUUACAAUCGUUUACCUUGGUAAACUUUUUUAAGUUGACCCAAAAUGCUUCUAGAUUUUAAUUCGAGUUUGGAAACAAAAUUGUAACCACGACUUAAUAUGAUAGUUAUGUUUCAAUUAUAUUUUAAUUUUUUUUUUAAAUUCGCUCACUUUGUUAAGGUUAAAAUUGCACUUCUUAAAGUGAAAUAAAUACAUCAUACAAAUAAAUAUUAUGAAAAUGUUACCGUCUCUUUUAGUAAAGAUAAUUAAUAAAUCAUAAAAUGUAACUUCUAAUUUCAAAUCAAAGCAUAAAUAGAUCAUUUAUUCAUAUUCUAAUUCCAAAUCAAAGCAUAAAUAGAUCAUUUAUAUGAAUUCGGAAAAUCAAAUAGGACAAAUAUACAUCUUUUGAUUGGCAACAUAUUAUUUGUUAAUCGGUUGGAAAUAUUAUUGUUAAUUGUCCAUAAGCAUUGAAUUGACCAUAUUUCAUUUAUAUAUUGUUUUUAGCUUCUGCCUUUGUUGAAUGGUUAAACACAUGUCCUUUUGUAUAUUGAUUUAGUCUCUAGUUGUUUCUUCUAUUUAAUGAUUAAAAUUAUGCCCUAUGACUUCGAUGAUUAAUUUUGGCUUCUUCUUUUUGUAUGGUGUUUAAUUAAUGUUUAUAUUAUUUUUAGAUAAUGUCAUAUUUAGAUAAUGUAUUUCUCUUUGUCAUUUUUGAUGUUUUUUCUUUGUUUUGGUCAUCCUAAGAUGGAAAGAGAUAGAAUCCCUUCUUCCUUAUAAAAGCUAUUUGAAACAGAUGAGAAUUAUUAAUUAGCAUGUCUUCUUAACAUUUUAGAGACUCUUAUGUUAAAAAUUGAACCGUUAAUAAAAAGAAACACCAAAUAUCAAAAAAGAGUCAUGCUUUAUUUAAAUUGCAAAUGACAAAACAAACAUGAAAAUAACAUAAAAAAGAGUCAAAAACUCAAAGUACUUAAUUUAAAUUUUAAAUAACAUCAAUAACAUUAAAAAAAAGUAAAAAACUCAAAUCAUGUUAAUUAGCUAUAUAUAAUUUAUAUUGAAGCUACUUAUGCUUGUAACUAUACCAAUUUUUAUUGCAUAGCAUUGUUAUAUAGGAAGAAUAUUAUAUAACAAUUAAUAGUGAUUCAUAACAAUAUUUGCUAAGUAACAACAUAUAUUUAAGUUGCACCCCCAUUUACAUGCAUCAUUUAAUGAAAUCCAACUCAUUAGUUGGAAACAAACUAUUUAUUUAAAGUAUAGAUUCAUCAUGAGAUUGACAUAUCAUAUGGUCAUAUUCAGGAAAACAUCAAAAUUGAAUACGGGGGCACAGACACCAAGUGGAAACAAUGAUGGAGCACAAUAACAACCAUCACCACAUUGUGAAUCACCUACUACUGUA